rnacentral:rRNA from 1 species
ACCGGCGCACGGGUGCGUAACACGUAUGUAAUCUGCCUUGUACUGGGGAAUAGCCCCUGGAAACGGGGAUUAAUACCCCAUAUUGUCUUAUCAGCGCACGCUGGCAAGAUGAAAGCUCCGGCGGUACAAGAUGAGCAUGCGUCCCAUUAGCUUGUUGGUGAGGUAAUAGCUCACCAAGGCUGCGAUGGGUAGGGGUUCUAAGAGGAAGAUCCCCCACACUGGCACUGAGAUACGGGCCAGACUCCUACGGGAGGCAGCAGUAGGGAAUAUUGGUCAAUGGGCGCAAGCCUGAACCAGCCAUGCCGCGUGCAGGAUGAAGGCCCUCAGGGUUGUAAACUGCUUUUGUAUGGGAAUAAAAAGCCCUUGUGAGGGCUAUUGAAGGUACCAUAAGAAUAAGCACCGGCUAACUCCGUGCCAGCAGCCGCGGUAAUACGGAGGGUGCAAGCGU